rnacentral:rRNA from 1 species
CCUACGGGGGGCUGCAGUGGGGAAUAUUGGACAAUGGGCGCAAGCCUGAUCCAGCCAUGCCGCGUGAGUGAUGAAGGCCCUAGGGUUGUAAAGCUCUUUCACCGGUGAAGAUAAUGACGGUAACCGGAGAAGAAGCCCCGGCUAACUUCGUGCCAGCAGCCGCGGUAAUACGAAGGGGGCUAGCGUUGUUCGGAAUUACUGGGCGUAAAGCGCACGUAGGCGGAUACUUAAGUUAGGGGUGAAAUCCCAGGGCUCAACCCUGGAACUGCCUCUAAUACUGGGUAUCUUGAGUCCGAGAGAGGUGAGUGGAAUUCCGAGUGUAGAGGUGAAAUUCGUAGAUAUUCGGAGGAACACCAGUGGCGAAGGCGGCUCACUGGCUCGGUACUGACGCUGAGGUGCGAAAGCGUGGGGAGCAAACAGGAUUAGAUACCCUAGUAGUC